rnacentral:lncRNA from 1 species
UUGGAGAUUGAUCUUAUUUGUUUGGUUGUCCGUGGAUUCAAAGAUGAAGUAGAUAGUAAAGGCCAAGGCAACGGGCAUCAGACAUGUUAAUUUUUCUGAACUCUACUAUGGAACAUGUGUUUCUGAAUUUCUGCCAAAGUGUCAACUGUGGAUCGUACAUAGUAGUGCUCUUUUGAUAGUAGGUGGUCUGAAUUUCUGUCAAAGUGAUAACUGUGGAUAGUACAUAGUAGUGCUCUUUUGAUAGUAGGUGGUCGAAGUGUCGAAACACUGGAACAAGCACAAACUGAUCCUAGCAUCGAAGUGCUUUGUUUUUCCUUUGCAUCAAACUAUAUUUGUGUGCUCCAGAGUUCAGUGGGACAUAUGAUUGUCGUGCUCCAGCCUGUUUAAUCUCAGGUCUGAUCUCUUUUUAGCUCUUAUAUGUAUAGUACUUGGUUAUACAAACAUGGAACUGAUGGAUAUGUUGGAUUAAUGGAUGCAUAAUUAGACACCUGAUGAUGAAUAGAUGGAAUUAAUGGAUGCAUACAUAUAUGAUUAGACCCUUAAUAAGCUUAGAUGUACUAUGGUUUAUUGCAUUCUCAGUAGGUUAAUAAUUACUAUAUAUGAAAACAAAAUUGCGCGUUCUUAUUUUGUUGGAAUAUUCCCACAAGGCCACACCGGCAAGAUAAUUAGUUUCUUUUUUAUGAAACCAAUAGCUAAUCUAUAUAUUUGCAGGUGAUUCAGAUGAGCGUCUCCCGACUUUAUGCAACAAUCAAAUUUAUUUGAAGUACCAAUAUUUGCAAUAAACAUUCUUAAUCCAUAUUAGUUACGGGAUUUAUAAAUCUUUUCACCACUUCAUAUGUUUGGAGGGGAACAUAUAAGAAACUGAUGGAUCACGUAUAUGUUCUGUGGCAUAAAUACAAUAUAAUUAAUGUGAAAACCAUUGAUGUGUCUCAGGAUCACAUGAUCUGUUUAAAAUAAUAUAUAAUUUGCACUCAGCGGAAAAUACUCCCAAAAAAGUUCGCAUGUAAAUGACUGAAUAUUAUAUCCAGAUUUCAGUUUUGUCUCAUUGACAAAAGUAAUCAUUGCGAUGCCCUGAAGAAAUAUACGAUUAUCAUGGUAAGUAUUUUCGUUCCGUGCAGGGUCUUGCGAGCGGGGAAGGAGAGCACCUGUGAGGUAAGAAGGCACCAAUGCAACACGCUGUGAAACCUCGGCAUCGCAAAUGGGAUUCUGUCCAAGGAUGCAGAUUU